UAUAGCCCAGAUUGCAGCGGAAAUCCUUUUUUUUCUUAAAAAAAAGAUUGUAGCGGAAAGCUGGACU
rnacentral:sRNA from 1 species